CGGCGUGUGGCGGAAUUGGUAGACGCGCCAGCCUAAGGAGCUGGUGUCCUUCGGGACGUGUGGGUUCGAGUCCCACCAUGCCGACCA
rnacentral:tRNA from 1 species